ensembl:lncRNA
CACAAUAGAGGAAUGAGGGCAAAAUAUAUGUGAAAGCUACAAUUCCCUCUUCUCAGAGUAAGGUGAUGCACUGAUUCCUACAGAGGUCCAGUCCUGUCCUCUACAUACCCAGAGGAAUUGAAUACUGGCAGCAUAAGCAGCAUGUGCUGUCACAUCAGAUACGGCUUUCUGCACAUGGAGAAACUAACUAGAGUGGACAACACAGCUGCAUUUUAUUCCCAAUUUGGCUAUUGAGAUCCUGGCUGCAGGAUCUUGGGUGUCUCACUUCACAUAAUCAUUGGCAUGGCAUGUGGCAUGCUACUUGGAGACUCUGAAGACCUAGAAUCUUCAGCUCAGACUCCAGAUGAGCUCAGCUUUCCAAAAUCAGUUCUACCAACUCCUACCCUCCGGUACCAGGAUGAUCAGCAUAGCUGAAGGAUGUCACAAAAUUAUGAGCAUUCCUGCACUGUCAUACUCCCUCCUGCUCCAUCCCACCUCUGGAUAAGAAUCAUUCCUCUGUCCUAUGUAUCUACCCUGUGGACACUGCUGGCCAGACACUCACUCAGGAGUCACCUCGUUAUCAGAUUGACAAACCACAAGAAAAAGAAGGGCAUAGCAUCCUUCUUCAUCACUGGAAUUUUGAUGAGAGGCUAGACAUGGAGCAUGCAUUUUGGAGCCAUGUGGCAACCAUGAAAAUAAAAGCCAUGUGUGAAGGAUGAUGAAACAAGAAGAUAAAAAGGUGACAUUGUGAAACUCUGUACCAUGCCUGGGUAUAUAUUAUAGAUUAUUUAAAAUAUAACAAAAUAUCAACCUGUUUGAUGAAGACGGUGUUUCUAUUUUUUAGCAUCACAAAAUACAUAGAAAAUUGAAAUAUUUAAUACUUGCAUGGAAAGGGAAAUUCAUGGACAAUGUUGAAUAUUCAAAAUUCUCUUAGAGGAAUGGAGGUUCAUUAUCUUGUCACACCUGUAAUACAUUGGCAAAAUAAGAAUGCAUUAUAUAGCACACCUGUUUGGAAUAUUGCUAAGAUUGCCUUUUCAAGCAGCUGAACAUAAUUUCCUACUAACAGAGUUUCUCUAGCUAGACAAUGAGAUUAUUGGGAGCAAAACUAUGCAUUAUUUAUCUUGUUUCUUGCUCACUCCCUAUGGUGCUGGAAACUUGGCAGUUAUUCAAUAAAUAUGUGUUGAAUACAUGUAAAAAAACCCUCAAAGUCCCAGACUAGUUUUGCCACAUUUCUGGAUUAUGCUUAUCUCUGACUCAAAGCUUUUACUCAAUUUUCCUUCUGCCAGGAAAAACUUUUUACUCCUUUCCUCAUAACCAAAUUCUACCUAUUCUUUAAAGUUCUCCUCAAGUUUAACCUUUUCCAUGAAAUUAUUCACCAACUUAUUCCUCUUUUCUGUAUUUCCCCAAUUCUUGUUGAAAGAAAGGUUCACUGUUGGUAUCACUUCAUAUGGGUAUUCUUCAACUAAUUGACCAGCUUUUCCAUGUUGUCAUAUAGUAAUCCUAUAUUUUACUAAUGAAAUGUUGUACUUUGGCUAUUCUUUUCCUGAAAACAUAUUUCAUAUUAUGAAUAUAAACAAUUGAUACAAAUAAAUAAUUUAAUCAAAUAAAUAAAACCAAACAAUUUAAAAACAAAUUUUAAAUGUUCCCUUUAGGAAAAUAUUCUGCCUGAGAUGGAUCAUCUAUCCAUAGCUUCUUAAAAUAUGAAUCUAGUGAAAUUUAGCUGAACACAGCAAAUUGGUUAGAAUAUUCCCAAAAGUAAGAACUAAGAGUUUUCAGUGCUGCAAAGCUCUUAGAACUGCAAAGAGACUAUCACAUGUCCAAAAUUUUUAACUGUAGAUUUGAUGUGCAGGUAGGCUUAUCAAGGUCUUUGGAUGAUAAACCAGGAUCAAGGCACUUACCACAGGGUUUUUAUUUUUAUGAACAAUUAUCUGCUGCCUGAUUCAUCAACCUUAAAUAUUUUGGAGAAAAGUUCACAUUUCGGGAGAUAGUUAUGCCUCUGGAUCAGUACUUAGAAUAUCCCCUGGAGCUCUAAAUUUUUUCCAUUGGAAUGCCUCUUGACACAGCCAAAUUAUUAUUUACUUACUCUGAAACAUCUUCCUUUGAUCUCUUACUUUUCCUGUCUUUCAGCAUUUUGUAAAAAUUUUUGCUUGGAUGUGUCUUAUUGAACAUUCACACCAUUAAAAGUUAUUGCAAUUUGUGGCCAGGCACAGGGGCUCAUGUCUGUAAUCCCAGUCCUUUAGGAGGCUGAGGCGGGUGGAUUACUUGAGGCCAAAGUUCAAGACCAGCCUGGCCAAGAUGGCGAAAUUCCAUCUCUACUAAAAAUACAAAAAGUUAGCUGAGUGUGCUGGUGUAACCUGUAUCUAUAUAGUCAGUAAAUUGGACACUCAUUAAACAGUCUGGUGUAUCACCUUUCUACUGCUUUUUUUGAGUUGGCUUUGGAAAAUUACACAGGCUUUAGAAAAUUUCAAUCUACCAUGGGAACACUGUCACCCAACAUAGCAAGUAGCUUUUUAUGUCUAAAAUGAUCUUAUAAUGUUUUUGAGUUUGAUGUA